rnacentral:rRNA from 1 species
GACAGAGGUGGCGAGCGUUGCUCGGAUUUACUGGGCUUAAAGGGCGCGUAGGUGGCCUUGUAAGUCAAAGGUGGAAUUCCACAGCUCAACUGUGGAACUGCCUUUGAUACUGCAAGGCUUGAGUCAGGUAGAGGAGGGCGGAAUUCCCGGUGUAGCGGUGAAAUGCGUAGAUAUCGGGAGGAAGGCCGGUGGCGAAGGCGGCCCUCUGGGCCUGUACUGACACUGAGGCGCGAAAGCUAGGGGAGCAAACGGG